rnacentral:rRNA from 1 species
GACGAACGCUGGCGGCGUGCUUAACACAUGCAAGUCGAGCGGUAAGGCCCUUUCGGGGGUACGACGAGCGGCGAACGGGUGGGUAACACGUGGGUGACCUGCCUUUAGCUCUGGGAUAAGCCUGGGAAACCGGGUCUAAUACCGGAUAUGACUCCGCGGCGCAUGUUGGUGGGGUGGAAAGCCUUGUGCGGCUGGAGAUGGGCCCGCGGCCUAUCAGCUUGUUGGGUGGGGUGAUGGCCUACCAAGGCGACGA